rnacentral:rRNA from 1 species
GCUUGUCUCAAAGAUUAAGCCAUGCAUGUCUCAGUACAAGCCAAAUUAAGGUGAAACCGCGAAAGGCUCAUUAAAUCAGUUAUGGUUCCUUAGAUCGUACCCACAAUUACUUGGAUAACUGUGGUAAUUCUAGAGCUAAUACAUGCAUACAGAGCUCCGACCGGAGACGGGAGGAGUGCUUUUAUUAGAUCAAAACCAAUCGGUGGCGGGCUCGUCAUCGUACAACUUGGUGACUCUGAAUAACUUUACGCUGAUCGCACGGUCAUCGCGCCGGCGACGCAUCUUUCAAAUGUCUGCCUUAUCAACUGUCGAUGGUAGGUUCUGCGCCUACCAUGGUCGUAACGGGUAACGGGGAAUCAGGGUUCGAUUCCGGAGAGGGAGCCUGAGAAACGGCUACCACAUCCAAGGAAGGCAGCAGGCGCGCAAAUUACCCACUCCCGGCACGGGGAGGUAGUGACGAAAAAUAACGAUACGGGACUCAUCCGAGGCCCCGUAAUCGGAAUGAGUACACUCUAAACCCUUUAACGAGGAUCAAUUGGAGGGCAAGUCUGGUGCCAGCAGCCGCGGUA